rnacentral:rRNA from 1 species
UUUCGGUUGAUCCUGCGGACUGACUGCUAUCGGAUUGGUACUAAGCCAUGCGAGUCGUUGUACAGUACAAGGCGGACUGCUCAGUAACACGUAGUUAACUUAACCUAUGGAUGGGAAUAACCUCGGGAAACUGAGAAUAACACCCAAUAGACCACAGUGCCUGGAAUGGCCUGUGGUUGAAAUGAUUUAUCGCCGUAGGAUAGGACUGCGGCCUAUCAGCUUGUUGGUGAGGUAAUGGCCCACCAAGGCUAUAACAGGUACGGGCUCUGAGAGGAGGGGCCCGGAGAUGGGUACUGAGACACGGACCCAGGCCCUAUGGGGCGCAGCAGGCGAGAAACCUUUGCAAUGUGCGAAAGCACGACAAGGUUAAUCCGAGUGUCUCCUGCUAAAGGAGUCUUUUGUCAGUUGUAGAAUCACUGGUGAAUAAGGGGUGGGCAAGUUCUGGUGUCAGCCGCCGCGGUAAAACCAGCACCUCGAGUGGUCAGGAGGUUUAUUGGGCCUAAAGCAUCCGUAGCCGGUUGCAUAAGUUUUCGGUUAAAUCUAUGCGCUUAACGUAUAGGCCGCCCGAAAAUACUGUGCAGCUAGGGCGUGGGAGAGGUCCCGGUCUCGAUACG